UUUUUAAUAUAAGUAUGUCCCAGUCAGUAUUUGGGUCAUACUUAUACUAAAA
rnacentral:pre_miRNA from 1 species